UUGUAUGAACAAAAAUUAAUCACAAUACAAGAAACAAGUACGGACGAUUGUGUUGAAGAAUAUGUUGUAAAUGAAGAGGAGCUUGAUGAUAAUGCGCCAUCAACGCAUGAACAUUUGUCGUUUACUAAUCUAAUCAAAGAAUUUCCACAAACUACAUCCUCUUCAUUAGAA